AGUCAAUAGAUACCCAGGUAGUCCACGCCGUAAACGAUGUCGACUUGGAGGUUGUGCCCUUGAGGCGUGGCUUCCGGAGCUAAACGCGUUAAGUCGACCGCCUGGGGAGUACGGCCGCAAGGUUAAAACUCAAAUGAAUUGACGGGGGCCCGCACAAGCGGUGGAGCAUGUGGUUUAAUUCGAUGCAACGCGAAGAACCUUACCUACUCUUGACAUCCAGAGAACUUUCCAGAGAUGGAUUGGUGCCUUCGGGAACUCUGAGACAGGUGCUGCAUGGCUGUCGUCAGCUCGUGUUGUGAAAUGUUGGGUUAAGUCCCGCAACGAGCGCAACCCUUAUCUUUUGUUGCCAGCGGUUAGGCCGGGAACUCAAGGAGACUGCCAGUGAUAAACCUGGAGGAAGUGGGGAUGACGUCAAGUCAUCAUGGCCCUUACGAGUAGGGCUACACACGUGCUACAAUGGCGCAUCAAACGNGAAGCGACCUCGCGAGAGCAAGCGGACCUCAUAAAGUGCGUCGUAU
rnacentral:rRNA from 1 species